CAUAUGCUUGUCUUAAGGAUUAAGCCAUGCAUGUCUCAGUACAAACAAUUAU
rnacentral:rRNA from 1 species